GUAGUCUCGCACAGAUGCAUAUCAAUAAGCGGAGGAAAAGAAACUAACAAGGAUUCCCCUAGUAACGGCGAGUGAAGCGGGAAGAGCUCAAAUUUGAAAUCUUAAAGGGUUUCCCUUUACGAAUUGUAGUUUAAAGAAGUGUUUUCUGUUGAGGUUUUGGUAAAAGUUCUUUGGAAUAGGACAUCAUAGAGGGUGAGAAUCCCGUAUUUGACCUUUACUUUCAAUUUUGUGAUACACUUUCAAAGAGUCGGAUUGUUUGGGAAUGCAGUCCAAAAUGGGUGGUAAAUUUCAUCUAAAGCUAAAUAUUGGCGAGAGACCGAUAGCGAACAAGUACCGUGAGGGAAAGAUGAAAAGAACUUUGAAAAGAGAGUUAAACAGUACGUGAAAUUGUCAAAAGGGAAGCGUUUGACACCAGUGUUGUUUUUCUGAAAAUCAAUUAAAGAACUGUUUAUGCUAAGUUGUUUAGACUUUAUCAGCUAACUGUUUAGUUUUGAGCUUUUCUUUAAUGCACUUUUCAGUUAACAAGUCAACAUCAAUUUCCUUUGCUGUAAAAAGGUAGAGGAAGGUGGCUUGCAGAUUCGUUUAAGUGUUUAUAGCCUCUUUAGCCUCUGCAGUCGGAGAGAUUGAGGUCUGCAGCGUAGAUCCUUCGAGGCUAAAUAGCAUUUAGUGCUAAGUUAUAGCAUUUUCAUAGACAACUUGUUGACUAUGAUUUAGUCAUGUAGCUUACUCGUAGUGCUAUUUUACCUACGCUUAGGAUGUUGAGCGCAUGUCUCUCUU
rnacentral:rRNA from 1 species